GAUGAAGAACGUAGCGAAAUGCGAUAAGUAAUGCGAAUUGCAGAAUUUCCGUGAGUCAUCGAAUCUUUGAACGCACAUUGCGCCCUGUGGUAUUCCGCAGGGCAUGCCUGUUCGAGCGUCAUUUAACCCCCUCAAGCUCUGCUUGGUGUUGGGCGUUUGUCUUAGCUUCUGGCAUGGACUCGCCUCAAAAUUAUUGGCAGCCACCUCUCUGGCUUCGAGCGCAGCACUAUUGCGCCCAUUCUUUGAGAGUGUGGUUAUCCAGAAGCCCUCUUUUCGGUUGACCUCGGAUCAGGUAGGGAUACCCGCUGAACUUAAGCAUAUCAAUAAGCGGAGGA
rnacentral:misc_RNA from 1 species